rnacentral:rRNA from 1 species
UACGAAGGGUGCAAGCGUUGUUCGGAAUUAUUGGGCGUAAAGAGUGAUAAGGCGGAUCUCCAAGUCAGGUGUGAAAUCUCGGGGCUUAACCCCGAAAGUGCGCCUGAAACUAGAGAUCUGGAGUAAUGUAGGGGAGAGGGGAAUUUCACGUGUAGGGGUAAAAUCCGUAGAGAUGUGAAGGAACACCAGAGGCGAAGGCGCCUCUCUGGGCAUUUACUGACGCUGAUUCACGAAAGCGUGGGGAGCAAACAGGAUUAGAUACCCUGGUAGUCCACGCCGUAAACGAUGAACACUAGUUUUUGGAGGUAUUGACCCCUCCAGGAACGCAGCUAACGCGUUAAGUGUUCCGCCUGGGAAGUACGGCCGCAAGGCUAAA